rnacentral:rRNA from 1 species
AUUGAACGCUGGCGGCAUGCUUUACACAUGCAAGUCGAACGGUAACAGGCCGCAAGGUGCUGACGAGUGGCGAACGGGUGAGUAAUGCAUCGGAACGUGCCCAGUCGUGGGGGAUAACUACUCGAAAGAGUAGCUAAUACCGCAUACGAUCUAUGGAUGAAAGCGGGGGACCGUAAGGCCUCGCGCGAUUGGAGCGGCCGAUUUCAGAUUAGGUAGUUGGUGGGGUAAAGGCUCACCAAGCCAACGAUCUGUAGCUGGUCUGAGAGGACGGCCAGCCACACUGGGACUGAGACACGGCCCAGACUCCUACGGGAGGCAGCAGUGGGGAAUUUUGGACAAUGGGCGCAAGCCUGAUCCAGCAAUGCCGCGUGCAGGAAGAAGGCCUUCGGGUUGUAAACUGCUUUUGUACGGAACGAAACGGCUCUGGUUAAUACCCGGGGCUAAUGACGGUACCGUAAGAAUAAGCACCGGCUAACUACGUG